CAGCCGCCACGGUAACACGUAGGUGGCAAGCGUUGUCCGGAAUUAUUGGGCGUAAAGGGCUCGCAGGCGGUUUCUUAAGUCUGAUGUGAAAGCCCCCGGCUCAACCGGGGAGGGUCAUUGGAAACUGGGAAACUUGAGUGCAGAAGAGGAGAGUGGAAUUCCACGUGUAGCGGUGAAAUGCGUAGAGAUGUGGAGGAACACCAGUGGCGAAGGCGACUCUCUGGUCUGUAACUGACGCUGAGGAGCGAAAGCGUGGGGAGCGAACAGGAUUAGAUACCCCUGUAGUCCCUGUCUCUUAUAC
rnacentral:rRNA from 1 species